rnacentral:rRNA from 1 species
GCUGGCAGCUAACUUUUUGAAACUCUCACAUGGUCACCCCACAGAAGCUAAACAGGGCUGCCCCUGGUCAGUACCUGGAUGGGAGACCACAUGAGAAAGCUAGGUUGAUGACAAAA